AGGGAAUCUUCCGCAAUGGACGCAAGUCUGACGGAGCAACGCCGCGUGAGUGAAGAAGGUUUUCGGAUCGUAAAACUCUGUUGUUAGAGAAGAACAAGUGCUAGAGUAACUGUUAGCGCCUUGACGGUAUCUAACCAGAAAGCCACGGCUAACUACGUGCCAGCAGCCGCGGUAAUACGUAGGUGGCAAGCGUUGUCCGGAUUUAUUGGGCGUAAAGCGAGCGCAGGCGGUUCCUUAAGUCUGAUGUGAAAGCCCCCGGCUCAACCGGGGAGGGUCAUUGGAAACUGGGGAACUUGAGUGCAGAAGAGGAGAGUGGAAUUCCAUGUGUAGCGGUGAAAUGCGUAGAUAUAUGGAGGAACACCAGUGGCGAAGGCGACCCUCUGGUCUGUAACUGACGCUGAGGCUCGAAAGCGUGGGUAGCAAACAGGAUUAGAUACCCUGGUAGUCCACGCCGUAAACGAUGAGUGCUAAGUGUUGGAGGGUUUCCGCCCUUCAGUGCUGCAGUUAACGCAUUAAGCACUCCGCCUGGGGAGUACGACCGCAAGGUUG
rnacentral:rRNA from 1 species